CCUGGUGGCUCAGACAGUAAAGAAUCUGCCUGAAAUGCAGGAGACCCAGGUUCAAUCCCUGGGUCAGGA
rnacentral:tRNA from 1 species